GGCCGCGGUAUAAUGACCGUGCGAAGGUAGCAUAAUAAUUAGUCUUUUAAUUGAAGACUGGAAUGAAAGGUCGGACAAAAAGUAAUCUGUCUCUAUUUUAAAAAUUGAAUUUAACUUUUAAGUGAAAAGGCUUAAAUAAUCUUUAAGGACGACAAGACCCUAUAAAACUUUAUAAACUAGAAAUGAAUUCAUAAUUUAUAUUUUUAACAGAAAUUAUUUUCAAUUUUAUUUCGUUGGGGCGACGAAAGUAUAAUGAUUAACUGCUUUUCUUUAAACACAAUUAUAUUUGUAUUUUAUGACCCUUUUUAAAGAUCUAAAGAAAAAGUUACUUUAGGGAUAACAGCGUUAUUUUUUUUAAGAGUCCUUAUCGACAAAAAAGUUUGCGACCUCGAUGUUGAAUUAAAACCCCACUAUGGUGCAGCAAUUAUAGAGGGAGGUCUGUUCGACCUUUAAA
rnacentral:rRNA from 1 species